rnacentral:rRNA from 1 species
UGAGUUUGAUCCCUGGCUCAGGACGAACGCUGGCGGCGUGCCUAACACAUGCAAGUCGAGCGAAGUUUUUAAAGAAGAUUUCUUCGGAAUGAAACUUUAAUUAUCUUAGCGGCGGACGGGUGAGUAACGUCGUGAGAAACCUGCCUUUUACAAAGGGAUAGCCUCGGGAAACUGGGAUUAAUACCUUAUGACACUUAAAUGUCGCAUGAGAUUUAAGUCAAAGCGUAAAGCGGUAAAAGAUGGUCUCGCGUCCCAUUAGUUAGUUGGUGAGGUAAAGGCUCACCAAGACAGCUGAUGGGUAGCCGGCCUGAGAGGGUGAACGGCCACACUGGAACUGAGACACGGUCCAGAUCUCUCUACGGGAGGCAGCAGUGGGGAAUAUUGCACAAUGGAGGAAACUCUGAUGCAGCGACGCCGCGUGAACGAUGAAGGCUUUCGGGUCGUAAAGUUCUGUCCUAAGGGACGAUAAUGACGGUACC